rnacentral:lncRNA from 1 species
UUGAUCGAAGCAUCCUGCGUUACUCAAAACGUAGAUUACAUCAUAAGCACUCAUCAAUUGGUUUCAUCAUCAAAAUCCCAGAUUCAAUAAUCUCCCCCUUUUUUAUGAUGACAACCAAUUGAUGAUGGAGUUAACUAAACUCCCGGAGUUUAAACAAACUCCCCCUAUCAAUAUGUCAUAUUAAUAGAAACUCUUGGAUUCAAAAAUCCAAGUAAUA